rnacentral:rRNA from 1 species
AUGCCGCCGCCGGCGACCCCUGCCCCGAGCGCCGCGGUGCAACCAUGCCUGAGGACGCACGGAAAGGAGGUCGCUAGGCUGCACCUGUUCGACUGGAUCGUGCUGCUCCUGCUCGUCGCCACGACCGGCGCGCUCGGCCUGGUCCAGCCGUUCCACCGCUUCGUGGCACAAGACAUGAUGUCGGACCUCCGGUACCCCAUGAAGGGCAGCACCGUGCCCGACUGGGCCGUGCCGGUCAUUGCCAUCGUUGUGCCGAUGGUUUUCAUCGUCGGAACAUACAUCAAGAGGAGGAACGUCUAUGACCUGCAUCACGCUACCCUUGGCCUCCUGUUUUCCGUUCUUAUAACUGCUAUCGUGACCGUUGCGAUCAAGGAUGCGGUUGGCCGGCCGCGCCCGGACUUCUUUUGGCGCUGCUUUCCUGAUGGAGUGCCGAAGUACAACAACGUCACCCGAGAUGUGAUAUGCGACGGUAAACCGGGCGUAAUCAAAGAGGGGUACAAGAGCUUCCCGAGUGGGCAUGCUUCAGGUGCUUUUGCUGGGCUUGGAUUUCUGUCAUGGUACCUGGCAGGCAAACUGAAGGCCUUCGACCGAAGAGGCCACGUCGCCAAGCUCUGCGUCGUUCUUCUGCCACUGCUUAUGGCAACAAUGGUUGCAAUAUCGCGGGUGACUGACUACUGGCACCACUGGCAGGAUGUGUUUGCUGGUGGAGUCCUUGGAUUGGUGGUUGCUUCGUUUUGCUACCUUCAGUUCUUUCCGCCACCCUACAGUGAACAUGGAGUUUGGCCUCAUGCGUACUUGGAGCACAUUCGUCGUCCGGAGGGUGAAAUGCAAGGGCAAUCAACAACAAACUCAAAUAUGCACCAUAACUCACUGCCACUUGAUCUUUCUGGAUCAAAUGAGACGAGAACCACCAGCCAUGCACUGGAUUCCAUGGAAGAAGGGAGCAGAGAUCAGUGA